GGACGAACGCUGGCGGCGUGCUUAACACAUGCAAGUCGAACGCUGAAGCCCAGCUUGCUGGGUGGAUGAGUGGCGAACGGGUGAGUAACACGUGAGUAACCUGCCCCCUUCUUUGGGAUAACGCCCGGAAAUGGGUGCUAAUACUGGAUAUUCACUGAUCCUCGCAUGGGGGUUGGUGGAAAGGUUUUUUCUGGUGGGGGAUGGGCUCGCGGCCUAUCAGCUUGUUGGUGGGGUGAUGGCCUACCAAGGCUUUGACGGGUAGCCGGCCUGAGAGGGUGACCGGUCACAUUGGGACUGAGAUACGGCCCAGACUCCUACGGGAGGCAGCAGUGGGGAAUAUUGCACAAUGGGCGAAAGCCUGAUGCAGCGACGCCGCGUGAGGGAUGACGGCCUUCGGGUUGUAAACCUCUUUCGCUCAUGGUCAAGCCGCAGCUUUGGGUUGUGGUGAGGGUAGUGGGUAAAGAAGCGCCGGCUAACUACGU
rnacentral:rRNA from 1 species